rnacentral:rRNA from 1 species
UACGUAGGGCGCAAGCGUUGUCCGGAAUUAUUGGGCGUAAAGAGCUCGUAGGCGGUUUGUCGCGUCUGCUGUGAAAACUCGAGGCUCAACCUCGGGCUUGCAGUGGGUACGGGCAGACUAGAGUGCGGUAGGGGUGACUGGAAUUCCUGGUGUAGCGGUGGAAUGCGCAGAUAUCAGGGAGGAACACCGAUGGCGAAGGCAGGUCACCUGGGCC